AGAAAAUAUCUUCGAGUUAUAGAGUUUUCGACUUAUCGAAAUUCGAGUGAAAAAGCUGCAACUUCGAAUUACAGAGACAGCGACAAUAGAAGUUUGACACAUAGGGGUGAACUUCAACUUGUAGAGGUCUGGCUUUAAAUUCGAGUUGCAGAGCAGAGAGGAGCAAUCUGCAAUUGAAAUUUGUCGGCGAUGCGGUCACAUGUCGAAACGUGGAAAUACGAAAUUUAAAUAACAAAUCGAUUCCGUGGCGCUCACUGCUUGCCCCGAGAUAAAAUGGAGCAGAAGAUAAAAUCGUCGACACGUAUGAUGGAAUAAUGGAAGGAGCAACGUUAUACUUCACGGCACGCGAGGCGCCGCGCCGCGCCGCUUGCUACCCACGAUGAUGUGCCCAGGGAGUGCGAUUCGAUACGAAGCCGGUGCACUCGGUAUGUGGAUCAAUUGUACGGUCCAAACUAGGCCAAUGAAUGCAAUGGCGAGAUGCAAGAUUCACCAUUCGCCGCCGCAUGGACAAAGUGGCAUCAAACUCAAAACGAUCCCCCGACGCGAAGGGGUUGUGAGCGAUGGCGCCGUCUAAUUGUAAGAUGUGAGCGAACUAGAAACUCUAACACUCUAAUAAGAAUCGCGAUAUUGCAUUUCUCAACUCUAUCAAUCUCUGAAUCUAUGUUGAUAGAGUUACGUAUUUACAAUAGAAGUUAUAUGGGAGUGAUAUAUAUUUUUAACUUACACAUAAAUAUUACACUUUUGGAAAAUACAUAGAAUUAAAAUUCCUAAAAAUGAAAAGAACAAUUUAAUGAAGAAGAUUAGUUAAUAAAAAGUUAUUAUUAGACUGUUUGCGUGAAUAUUUUAGUAAGUAAACGGAAAAGGCAUUUUUUAACCAUCAAUAAUUAAAUGUAUAUUAAUAAUUAAAUAUAUCUAGAGAAUUUCACUUUUCUA